AGCGAACGCUGGCGGCAGGCUUAACACAUGCAAGUCGAACGGGCAUAGCAAUAUGUCAGUGGCAGACGGGUGAGUAACGCGUGGGAACAUACCUCUUGGUUCGGAACAACACAGGGAAACUUGUGCUAAUACCGGAUAAGCCCUUACGGGGAAAGAUUUAUCGCCGAGAGAUUGGCCCGCGUCUGAUUAGCUAGUUGGUGUGGUAAAAGCGCACCAAGGCGACGAUCAGUAGCUGGUCUGAGAGGAUGAUCAGCCACAUUGGGACUGAGACACGGCCCAAACUCCUACGGGAGGCAGCAGUGGGGAAUAUUGGACAAUGGGCGCAAGCCUGAUCCAGCCAUGCCGCGUGAGUGAUGAAGGCCUUAGGGUGUAAAGCUCUUUGUACGGGAAGAUAAUGACGGUACCGUAAGAAUAAGCCCCGGCUAACUUCGUGCCAGCAGCCGCCGUAAU
rnacentral:rRNA from 1 species